UACGAAGGGGGCUAGCGUUGUUCGGAAUUACUGGGCGUAAAGCGCACGUAGGCGGAUUUGUAAGUUAGGGGUGAAAUCCCGGGGCUCAACCUCGGAACUGCCUUUGAUACUGCAAGUCUCGAGUCCGGAAGAGGUGAGUGGAAUUCCUAGUGUAGAGGUGAAAUUCGUAGAUAUUAGGAAGAACACCAGUGGCGAAGGCGGCUCACUGGUCCGGUACUGACGCUGAGGUGCGAAAGCGUGGGGAGCAAC
rnacentral:rRNA from 1 species